AAAUUAUGAGUAAAGUGCAUCAAUUCCCUUAUUUAUUUAAUAUGUUGGUGAGUGUUGUAUUUACUUUUUGCUUCCUUCGAAACUUUCAUUUUGGGUUUUAAAGAAGUAGAGUUGAAACAAAUUGUUGGUGCUGCCAACUAUGGAGUAUUUUGGGCCUCGAAAUACUAAGCCCAUGAACAAAAACCCAACUAUUAAUUACUUACAUAAUAAAAAUAUUAUAAAUAUUUAUUUUAAUCUCAUUUUUAGGGUUUGUGCGCCGCUACACACCUUAAAAAUCUGUAGAAGUUCUUUCACGCCUAUUUUCCCUACUCGUUCCUUUUCUCCCUCGUUCAAUUUCAGCCUUCUCCAUAUUUCCCCUUCUAUUCCAGCCUUUCUCAAAUUCACCUUCCCUCGUCUGUAUCUUCAAUUCCAGAUGGGAGUCAUGGGACGAUUCUUGUCAGUGUGUGUGUUUUUUUGGUAGAUUUGUGAAUAUCUUCACAAAGUGUUGCUUCCAAAAAAAAUUAUCUUCAUUUUUUCGCAUAUUAGUUUUUAAUUUUUUUGUGUUUAUGUUAAUAUUUUUGGUAGAUCUGUAAAUAUCUACACAAAAUGUUCUUAAAACAGAAGAUCUUUGUUUUUUUUUUUCGCAUAUUAGUUUUUCAUUUUUUUCUUCCUUUUUUAUUUUUUGUUUAUGUUAUCAUUUUGAUAGAUUUAUUAAUUUCUACACAAAUGGGUUCAUAAAAGAACAAUUUUUUUCUUGCGGGUUAGUUUUUUUAUACUGAGGAAGAUCUAUAUUUUUUUCGCUUAUUAGUGUUUUGUUUUUUAGUUUUUAAUUUGUUUUUAUAGUAUCAUUUUGGUAGAUCUAUGAAUAUUUACAUAAAUGGCUUCUCAAUCAUUUUGUUAGAUCUAUAUAUAUUUACGUAAAUGACUUCUAAAAAAGAUUUUUUUUUAUCAGAUUAGUUGAGGAAGAUCUUUAUUUUUUUCCAUCUUAGUUGGCCUCCUUGUUCUCUUGUAAAAUACCCGAACUUCUUCAUUUCUUCAUUUCUCUUGCCACUUAAGAGUGGAACUCAAGCCAAAAAGUGGAAUCAGAUUCGAAAGGCAAAACUUCCAUGCUCCAGAUUCAACUCUUCAUCUGUGUAGCUCCAGAUUCUUUUGCAGCAAAACUUCCAUGCUCCAGAUGCAACUCCAGAUUCAGAAAUAUUAUCUAUAAAAUAGAAAAAAUAUUGUAAUAAUUCGUUAGUAUUUGAGUUGUAAUUGAGACUAAUAGUGAAUAUGAAAAAAAACUACAGAAAACAAAAAUGAAAGAAUCACAUAAAAAUCAUAAAUAUAAAAAAAUACAGUAAAAAGAAUUCGAUCAAUCCAAAAUAGAUUAAAAGAAUUAGAACAAUGAGAGAGAAAGUUUGCAUAAAUCCAAAACAGAGAGAAAGUUGGCAUAGAAAAUAAUGGUCUGAAAUGAAUUGAUAUUUAUAGGCUGAGUUUUCAGCAAAUUGGCUCUAAGAUUGCCUGUUUUUAUGUUUCAAAUUUUAUUUUGGGCGGCA